AUCUAACUGACGAGUCCCAAGUAGGACGAAACGCGUAUCGUGGAU
rnacentral:hammerhead_ribozyme from 1 species